UUUUUUUUGCUUCAGUGACUUUAGGACA
rnacentral:piRNA from 1 species